rnacentral:lncRNA from 1 species
GGCAAGAAUGUUUUCUAAGACCCCGAACUCCAGAUUUGCGAUGUGGCAAAUCCUGAAGCGUACAUGGAUAUCUCUCACAGCUAAAGUAUCCCUCACCCCUAUCCAGCGCUUCUUACCCAUGGCGCGAGAGAAUCACCUGCGGGGAGGAAAACUUUCAAAAUCCCUUAAACCCAAGUUGUAACCGAUCAAUUAAAUCAGAAUCCUUGGAGUUGGAUCUGAAAAAAAUACGGUUUAAAGUUGUGCAGGUGAUUACAAUGUGUAGGCAAGCCACAAAACCAUGGGUUUAACCAGCAACUUUUGUUAGAAAUGAUUUCUCAAAUGAAUGUAAAAACGUUUGCUGCUGAAUUGUGACCUUUCAAUUUUACUUGCUUUUCCUACAAUGUAUAUUUUGCAGACCCAGGCUUGCUUCUCGUCCUGUUCCUGAUUCACCCAGUGCCCUGUGUAUUCAGUGCAUCCUGUGCACGGGUCACUGUGCUGUGUGCCCUGGCCUGGGUGAGCAUCAUUCUUCGGGGAGAACCUUGCUGAAAACAAAGCUGCAUUCCAAAAAGUUAAAACCAUGCUACUUACUGUGUUGAGGUUAAAAUUAAAAGACCUAGGGGACUCAUCCAAAAGUUAAAACAUAAAUAAAUAACUUGGAACAUUAAUAUACA